rnacentral:rRNA from 1 species
UACGGGGGGGGCAAGCGUUGUUCGGAUUUACUGGGCGUAAAGGGCGCGUAGGCGGCGCAACAAGUCACCUGUGAAAUCUCCGGGCUUAACCCGGAGCGGCCAAGUGAUACUGUCGUGCUAGAGUGCGGAAGGGGCUACUGGAAUUCUCGGUGUAGCGGUGAAAUGCGUAGAUAUCGAGAGGAACACCUGCGGCGAAGGCGGGUAGCUGGGCCGACACUGACGCUGAGGCGCGAAAGCCAGGGGAGCGAACGGG